CUCCGCUGGCAGGCUCUGAGCAAGGCCUGCCCAGAGAACAUGGAUGACGAGCUCUCGAUCCUGCUGACAGCACCCCCCAGCACAGACAAACUCCAGCACAUCUUGGAGGGUGGGAAACUGAGACACAGUUGGGACCUGUGUACACUACAGGUCUGUCAUGUGUUUGUAAUCUGCUGACCCCCACAUGUUGUUCAGAGCCUAUGGACAACACAGCUCCUAAAACCAGUCGAUCGCCCAGUGCUAUCACCCUGCCUGCUGGCUGGGCAGGGUAACUCCUCAGGUCACCACCACUCUCUCCAGCCUGCCUUGGCUUUGGGGAGUGAGGAGAAGGGCGAGGAAUGACACUGAACAUCCUCCAUCCAUCGCUCCGUCAGCAGAGCAAGAUGGCCAGGCUCCUGAGGAUGUUCAGGAAGAAGGCUCUGCAGGUGGCCCCAGAGCCUGAGGGAAGCAGCUGCCAUCUUCCUCAGGAGCAGAACGGCUCCUCUGUCCCCCUGGCGGGGAAGGAGCUCCCGGCCAGGCCAGGAGGAGGAAGUGCCCAGCCUUCUGGCGGAGAAAACCCGCUCCCAGCGCAGGCGCCGAGGUGGGAGAGGCCAGGUCGAAAUGGAGCUGGGCCAGGCUGCGGCUGGGCAGGCAGGACCCAGUGCAGGAGGGGAGCCGGGCAGGGUGACUCUGGGGCAUGUUGUGUGGGCAGCAGCGGCCCCAGGAGCCCAGCCCUGAUUCCCAGCAGGAGGCAUCACCCUGCCCGGUCAGUGAGG